UCAGCACAUUACCAAAAUGAAAGUACAAUCAACCAGAAUGGGUGGCAAAAUGGUAGGGUUACUGGGCUCCUCGACCCAGCCCUAGAGGAAUACAGAAGCAAGAAGGCAGUAUGGGUUAUAGGAACUAAUACACACAGAAAACACAGAUGCUCGAGAAAACUCUCAAGGAACCGAAGCUUUUUCUAACUGGAGUAGGUGUGCUGGAGGUUGAUGACUAACUGUGGCCAAUGAGAACCCAAACCAGCAGGAAGAGGAGAAAAACCUCUAGGAAAUCUCAUCAGCUAACGGGGGAGCUGAUCUGGGCUCAGACAGGACAAUCUGCCGUGCUAUUGCCAUGACUAGUACUGCCUCUAGCUGCUGCCUUUUCUGGUCAUCGUGGGACAAAUGAAAGCAGGCCAGUAUGAUUUUUUUUUUUUUUUGUUUCAUUUCUCCUGACUGGUCUUGGAAUGGAAAAUGCUACCAGGUUCUUGAACUGGCUCCUCUCCUUGGGUAUCCUUUUUGUACCAACCAGAAGAAAAUGUAUUUCCUGCUCUGGGCUAGGUCCUGCAGUUACAGCCUUCCAGAGGCAUAACAGUGUCCCCGAAAUCGGUUGGUGAUGGUGUCAUCCAGGGCCUGAUCGACCUUGACUUUUGGUUUUCUUUGAAGCUUCCCACGUAUGGCCUGUGUGUGAGUGUAGAUGCGUGUAGGUUGUGUUCAUGGGUUACGGGUAUCUUCUGACAUCUAAGACCUGUUACGACAAAAUAUAACCUUUGCACAUUUUCUGAAGACAAGGGGAAAAAAGCAGUUCAAAAUUUUAUCUGGACGGGUGUAUUUAUAGCUGUGCCUUUUUUUAUCUGACAAUGUUCCUUGGGUAAUUGGUUCCUUUGUUAGUUUUCAGAGCGAUGACACACAAAUAAAUUAGCAUUUCCACCUCAACUGCCUCUUUGGCAAGAAUAGAGGUUCUCAUGUCAAGGUAAAUAAAGAGGGAGGCAGGGAUCCAGAAAGACUAGAGAAAUGGGAGCCUUACUGAGCAAUUUAUGUGCCGACAUGUCCCUUUCAUGUUAACAGCUACAUAAAAGGAAGAAUGAGAAAAAGAAAAGGAAAAAAAAAAAACAUUGCUUUAUGGUGAAUAAGAAAAAAAACAUCCGUGUGGCUCAGAUGUGUCGUGUGUAGAGAUACUUGGGUCACUGACGUCUUCCCAGCCCGAUCUUCUGAAAGCACCCAGCUUUUGACCUGCCCCUGACUUCACAAGGUGUGACCUGUAGUCAAGGUCUCCUGCAGGUCCUGGAAUUCUUGAGUCAGCAAGUUCAUUCACCUCAGCGUUCCGGGUCCUAACUCUUACCUGUUUGUAUAAUUAACUGCUAAUGUAGCGACGUUCCGACGUGGAUUGUAUCAGGAAAGUGACAGAGCAGUUGAAGAGCACGUCAACAUCGGAUCUAACAAGUCAUCCGAUUCUUAGCGGCGUUGUUGUUACAGGGUUUCUUUUCCCUCCACGUCCUUGGGUCUCGGUCACACCACUUCCAAGAAGGACGAGGUAGACCAGACGAACACUGAUGGGCAGCAAAGUUGAUCGAGCGAUAGUAAAAUUUCUCCAGUGAUAGCACAAAGCUCCCGAAGAGAGAGGGGGCCCGAGAGAGUUGCCAGUUUGGUGUUUAGAUCUAGGGGUGUUUAUGGGGUCGUUGGCGGGCUGUUUUCAUCUGACUCACUUCUCAACUCACUGGAUGCAACUACUGCUGGAUGCAACACAGCUACUGUGUGCUAGGCGCUAGUCUGGAUGUUGGGAUGCAACAUUGAACAAGAUACAGGUUUUUGUCACCUACCGAUCACGUGGGAAAGGGAGGAGGGCUCCUUCCAGGGUGGUGUCAAACCCUUUGACGGGUGGUUUUCUCUUCGGGUGGGGGCCCCUUGUCCCUGCCUGCCUUCUUCCAACUAUCCUUCAUUAGUACCCUCGAAAGAACACUUGUUAUGUUCUACACUCAUGGUGUUAACAUGCGAUUUGCCUGCAUGAUUUGACCUUGGACAAAAAUUUUUAAACCUCCUUGAUUCUCAAUUUCAACAUCUGUACAUUGAGGGAAAGCAUUUGCUUUCUGGAGUAUCAUUUAUUCACGGCACAAAUGUCAUGAAGUAGCUACUGUGCGCUAGGCGCUAGUCCGGAUGUUGGGAUGCAAUGUUGAACAAGAUACGCCAAGUCCCUAUCCCCGUGAAGGUUGCCUUCUAGAUGGGGGAGACAGGCAAUAAGUAAUUAAGUGAACCGAUUCUGAUAGUCUUACGUGUCGCGUAGGAUCCAACAGUCGGCAUGCCUUGGCAGAUGGAAGCAGCCCUCCAUCAGAUAGGGCGAUCGGAGCAGGCGUCCCCGGGGACGUGAUCUGGAGGCUGACCUGAUGAUAGAAUGGCAUUAGCCUUGUGAGGGAUGAGGUCAAGAGUGUUCUAUGGUGGGGAAUACAAAAUGCAAAGGUCCUGAGGUAGGACAGAGUAUUUAAGAAACAGAGACUGGCUUUACAGGAUGGCAAGGUCCCAAUCGUGUAAUUUGUUUGAGCCGUCGUUAAGGAUUUGGACAUUCUCUAAGUGCUACGGAAAUCACUGGAGACUUUUAAGAAGUGUAAUUACAUGGUUUGAUCUGUAUUUUUACAAGCUAACUGCCGUGUAGACGAUGGACUAUGGAACAGAUGUUAAGGAUGAUAGCAGGGAGAACACUUAGGAAGCUUUAGCUGUGUUCUAAGUAAGGUGACGGAGGCUGGGAGUCGUGAAGAAGUCGCAAUGGAAACAGAGAUAAACAGAUGGGUCUGGAAUGUAUUUGGAAGGUAAAAAUGAUAAAACUUGCUGAUAGGUUGAAUGUGAGGGGCUAAGGAGAAAUCCGGGACAGUUCCUAGGUUCUUGGCUUGACAAGAAGAUUCCAUCAGAUAAGACAAGAUUCUAGAAGAAACUGGUUCGAGCCAAGAGGCUAAGCAUUCCGGGUUGGGCAUGUGAAGUUUAGGCUGCAAGUUAGGCUCCAGGUAGAGAUACUGCAUAUGUACCUAAGAAUAAGAGGCAGAAAAUGCAACCUGGAGCUUAGGGCACAGCUCUGGGCUGGGGGUGCAGAUCUGGGAAUCACUGGCUUUGCUGGAACAGACGAUUCAUGGGGAAAGAAUGAACAGGGAAUGGAAACGGUCCAGGAUGAGCCCUAGGGCACUCCAGCAUUUAGACACUAUCUUGCCAAGAAGGGGUCAGCAGAAGAGCUGGGGAAGGAGUAGCUAGCAGAGGGAAAACACAACAGGGUUGACACGUCCAGGGAGGGGUUAACUGUGUUUGUUGCUCCUGAGCGGUGAAUAUGAGGAUGGAGAAGUGACUCAACAGGAGAGCAUUUCACAAGACCAAUGAGGACAAAGGCCAUACCGGAGUGGAUUGUUGAGACAAUUCCAAUCCGCACAAAGUCUGUGUCGGGUGUACAGUAUGUGUUUACUGUGAUGGUAAAAAAUGCUGAGAAAGAAUUAGCUGUUGGGUUUUGUGGAUCGCCUGUAACAGCCAUUCUCCUGGCCUCCUUCCUCCCGUUCUCUAAUUCCCUUUCCUGGAAGACCCCUCCCCACCGCGUGUUAGGUUUUCCACUCUCCCGACUUCUGAGGAUGAGCCAUUGUUAGUCUAGGUCAUUCUUGGUGAUGUCAUUCCUCUUGCCAGUGACUAGUUUAGGCCACAGCAUGCGACCCUAUCGGAGAGGGAGCCUGGUGAGGGCUUCUGGCAGAGGUUUCCUAUGCUAAUAAACCGAUAUUCAUGGGAAGAAAUGCCUCUCUCCCUCACAAAACAUCAGGGCAUCAAUUUGGCAUGUCUGGAGUUGCUGUAGCCAUGCUCCUGGGGCUGGGAGGGGAGCCCUCACGGGUACGCUGCAGAUCGCAGAGCAGAAGGAUGCAAACAGUCUUUGUAGACCUAGAUCUCAGUCUCAUGGCAGGACUAAGACAAUCGUCAAAUAAAUGCUUCUCUGGAUAUGGGUCCCACAAAGGCCCCGUGUGAGUGCCGAUGUUACGGAUGAAGUACCGAGUGCUACACGCCGUCCUAAGCUCUACUUAUCUUUUGCAGCUGAGUAGACUGAGACCAAGGGAAGUGAAGUGACUGGUCUAGGGGCAUAUGGCCAGUAGGAUGUGGAGUGAGGAUUCCACCCCCGGGACGGUGGUCAUGGUUGGUAGGUCAGACCCAACAGGGCACCUGCAAAUAAACAUGUGGUGUUAGCCAUCUGUGUUUAAAAUGAUGGGUUGUUUUAGAUUAUCUCCUGAUGGUGGCAGCUGAUGUGAGACCGAGUCAACGAGUGGGCCUGGGGAUGCUGAGCAAGUGUGUCAGCAAGGCUUGGGCAGGACGCACACUGGAAAUACUGGAAUCCAGUUUCCAAAGAUUGACUUAUUGUAUUGGCACAAGGGAAUGCCCGAGUUGUAUACAUUGCUAAUUUUAAAAUAUUCCAUUUUUGGGGAUUUUUUUCAAAGAUUUUAUUUAUUUAUUCAUUCAUGAUAGAGAGAGAGAGAGAGAGA